UCUGGCCUGCCCAAUGAUUACAUAUUUAAUGGCCGCAGUAUUUUGACUGUGCAAAGGUAGCAUAAUCAUUAGUUUCUUAAUUGGGAACUGGAAUGAAUGGUUGAAUGAGGGGAUUUCUGUCUCAAUUUAAUUAUGAGAAUUUUAUGUUUGAGUUAAAAAGCUUAAAUGGGCUUCAAAGACGAGAAGACCCUUUAGAAUUUCAUAUAAAUAGAUUUUGUAUUUUGAGGAAUUUUUGAAUUAUGAUUUGAAUUUAUAUUUUGUUGGGGCGAUUGAAAAAUUUAAAUAACUUUUUUUUAUUGAUACAUUUAUUAGUGGUUUAUUGAUCCAUUGUUAGUGAUUAUAAGAUUAAAUUACCUAAGGGAUAACAGCGUAAUCUUUAUGGAGAGUUCUUAUCGAUAUAAGGGGUUGCGACCUCGAUGUUGGAUUAAAAUUUAUUUUAGGCGCAGAAGCUUAAUAAUUAGGUCUGUUCGACCUUUAAAAUUUUACAUGAUCUGAGUUUAAACCGGCGUGAGCCAGGUUGGCUUCUAUCUUGAAUUAAUUUAGAUUAUUCUAGUACGAAAGGACCGAAUUUUUGUAAAAUUUAUUUUAUUUUGAAUAGUAUUGUUACUUUGGCAGAUUAGUGCAUUAAAUUUAGAAUUUAAUAAUGUAUAUAUAGUACAAGUAAUACUUGAUUUUUUUUGAUCUAAUUCUAAUUU
rnacentral:rRNA from 1 species